GACGAACGCUGGCGGCGUGCUUAACACAUGCAAGUCGAACGAAGUGGCGAACGGGUGAGUAACGCGUAAUCAACCUGCCCUUCAGCGGGGGACAACAGUUGGAAACGACUGCUAAUACCGCAUACUGAAGGAGGGGAUUGCGUCUGAAUAGCUAGUUGGAGGGGUAACGGCCCACCAAGGCGAUGAUCAGUAGCCGGUCUGAGGGGAUUAACGGCCACAUUGGGACUGAGACACGGGCCAGAACCCUACGGGAGGCAGCAGGUGGGAAACUUCCGCAAUGGGAGGAAGUCUGACGGAGCAAAGCCGCGGGAGGGAUGACGGGCUUCGGGUUGUAAAGCUCUUUUAAUCGGGACGCGGUACCGGAAUAGAAAGCCACGGCUAACUACGUGCCAGCAGCCGCGGUAAUUC
rnacentral:rRNA from 1 species